GAUGAAGAACGCAGCGAAAUGCGAUAAGUAAUGUGAAUUGCAGAAUUCAGUGAAUCAUCGAAUCUUUGAACGCACAUUGCGCCCCCUGGUAUUCCGGGGGGCAUGCCUGUUCGAGCGUCAUUUCACCACUCAAGCCUCGCUUGGUAUUGGGCAUCGCGGUCCGCCGCGCGCCUCAAAUCGACCGGCUGGGUCUUCUGUCCCCUAAGCGUUGUGGAAACUAUUCGCUAAAGGGUGUUCGGGAGGCUACGCCGUAAAACAACCCCAUUUCUAAGGUUGACCUCGGAUCAGGUAGGGAUACCCGCUGAACUUAGGCAUAUCAAUAAGCGGAGGA
rnacentral:misc_RNA from 1 species